rnacentral:rRNA from 1 species
ACGCCUAAUAGCUAGCCUCAACAAUCAAAUUUUAAUAUUACGGGCCUAAAAACUUUUAAUAUACUUAAAUAAACCAUUUUAUACCCUAGUACGGGAGACGAAAAAGGAAAUAAGAGCAACAGACAAAGUACCGCAAGGGAACGCUGAAAAAGAAAUGAAAUAAACCAUUUAAGCCCCGAAUAGCAGAGAUUAACACUCGUACCUUUUGCAUCAUGAUUUAGCAAGAAAACUACAAGCAAAGAGACCUUUAGUUUGUAACCCCGAAACUGAGCGAGCUACUCCAAGACAGCCUAUGUAGGGCCAACCCGUCUCUGUGGCAAAAGAGUGGGAAGAGCUUUGAGUAGAGGUGAUAAACCUACCGAGCACAGUUAUAGCUGGUUGCCUGAGAAAUGAAUAGAAGUUCAGCCCUUUAAGUCUUCCCCCAUCACCCAUGCUUAAGCUAAAAUUGAUUAAGGAAACUAAGGGAGUUAAUCAAAAGGGGUACAGCCCUUCUGAUAAAAGAAACAACUUUAACAGGUGAUUCAAGAUCAUA